CAAGUUCACCAGAAUGUUUCAGCGUGCAAUAGCGUCGUUUGAUGAGUACCUUAGAAUUGUAUAGGCGGUAAGGUUCUUGCAUAUGUUAAUACAUUAUCACAUAUACCGAUAGAGUAUAAAAGAAUCCAAGGCAAUAGGUAGUGACAUUAAUCAACUAGAAGGACAGGCAACAUGAAGACCGUUUUUGUUCUGCUAGCUGUCGUUUUCCUUGCUUUCGCUGUAAAUGAUGGUGCUUGUCAAAGGAAAGGAAAAAGAAUCUUUGAGGAUGAUUUAAACGACGAGUUGACGAUUCAACAGGUCUCCAAAAGAGUUGCCCGCAUGGAAAAGUAUCUCUGUGAAGCAGCAGAAGAAAUGGGAUGCAGACGAUGACACUAGCAAUCUAACCUGGCAUUGACCAGUUAAAGUGCAAUAAAGCAUGCGUCAAAUAUUAUUUUACUGAAUUUCUUUGAUAGACAGUAAAUUGUUUAAAUAAGA